GCCCGCACCACCGCCGCUCCAGUUUGCCACCGCUCCUAAGGGGACCCCAGCCAGGCUACGGGAAGAACAAAUAAAUUCGGAAGUGGAUUAGUGGAUUUCAGGGACCUGUAUGCCAGAAGCCCCUUAUAAAUCACCCCAGUUAAGAAAAACAGAAAAACAGCACCCCUUAAAGAAUUUCCAACAGGAUUUAGAAAGUUUGUUAAGGAGGAAGCCUUUCACAGCUACAUCAGUUACAAAGAAGGAUCCCAGCACCAUAACCUGCAUUUUUGGCUCCUCUACCCCACACCCUAGCCAGCUAUUUGUUUCAAGAUGGCACAUAGUUUUUACCUUGUUUCAAGAUGGCAACCUGAUCCACUCCAACUCAUCUUUGGCAAACAACAGUGCAGAUGGACCAAGCCACAUCACUAAAAAGGGAGCUGCAACCUCUUGUACAGUCUGUCUCACCAGUAUCUCACCAAUAUUUAAACAUUUUGGACGGCCAACCAAAGUUUCUAGGAUUUUAUUUUCAGACUGACCAUCGUCAAGUGUUAUCCCCAUUCCUCCACAUAAGGAACAGUGUCAAGAAGCCCUUAAGCUUCCCAAAAAGAUUAUCCUAUGCUACACUCACAUUACGUUUGCAGCCUAUGGUAUACUACGUUUUUAGGUCGGGUCACAAAACUGGAUACGGGGCAAAAAUUAGUUAUCAUUAAAGUGAAUGAGUGCUGUGCAGGUCUGGCUGGGAUACGGGAGCACCCAGUUUAGAAAAUUCCCAGCCGGACCCGGCAGCCAUCGGCUGCAAACCUAAUGUGAACGCAGCCUU